rnacentral:rRNA from 1 species
CCCUUAGAUGUCCGGGGCCGCACGCGCGCUACAAUGGAUGAAUCAACGCGUCAUCCUGGCCCGAAAGGGUUGGGGAACCGCUGAACCUCAUCCGUGGUUGGGAUUGGGGUUUGUAAUUAUUCCCCAUGAACUAGGAAUUCCCAGUAAGCGCGAGUCAUAAGCUCGCGUUGAUUACGUCCCUGCCCUUUGUACACACCGCCCGUCGCUACUACCGAUUGGAUGGUUUAGUGAGAUCCUCGGAUUAGUCACGGCACGGUGGCAACACUGCGUCGGUGUGCCGAGAAGACGAUCAAACUUGAUCAUCUAGAGGAAGUAAAAGUCGUAACA